rnacentral:rRNA from 1 species
AGUGGAUGGGGAGCAACCUAGUUGUGCGUGUGUAAAGGUAGUGCCAAGAAAAGCGAUGAUCAUGUUGAAAAUCAAUUCCCGGUACCCGAAACCGACACAGGUGGGCAAGUAGAGAAUACUAAGGGGCGCGAGGUAACUCUCUCCAAGGAACUCGGCAAAAUGACCCCGUAACUUAGGGAGAAGGGGUGCCACCGAGAGGUGGUCGCAGUGAAGAGGCCCAGGCGACUGUUUAGCAAAAACAUAGGUCUCUGCAAACUCGAAAGAGGAGGUAUAGGGGCUGACGCCUGCCCAGUGCCGGAAGGUUAAAGAAGUUGGUCAGUCUUAGGAUGAAGCUAGCGACUGAAGCCCCGGUGAACGGCGGCCGUAACUAUAACGGUCCUAAGGUAGCGAAAUUCCUUGUCGGGUAAGUUCCGACCCGCACGAAAGGCGUAACGAUCUGGGCGCUGUCUCGGAGAGAGGCUCGGCGAAAUAGGAUUGUCUGUGAAGAUACGGACUACCUGCAUUUGGACAGAAAGACCCUAUGAAGCUUUACUAUAGCUUGGAAUUGUGUUCGGGCUUCCUGUGCGCAGGAUAGGUGGGAGGCGUAGAAGGUAUUCUUGUGGGGAUACUGGAGCCAACGGUGAGAUACCACUCUCAGGAGGCUAGAAUUCUAACUUAAUUAAGGACAGUUUCAGGUGGGUGGUUUGACUGGGGCGGUCGCCUCCAAAAAGGUAACGGAGGCGUACAAAGGUUCCCUCAGACUGGUUGGAAAUCAGUCGAAGAGUGCAAAGGCAGAAGGGAGCUUGACUGCGAGAAGUACAGUUCGAGCAGGGUGGAAACACGGUCUUAGUGAUCCGACGGUGCUGUGUGGAAGGGCCGUCGCUCAACGGAUAAAAGUUACUCUAGGAUAACAGGCUGAUCUCCCCCAAGAGUUCACAUCGACGGGGAGGUUUGGCACCUCGAUGUCGGCUCAUCGCAACCUGGGGCGGAAGUACGUCCCAAGGGUUGGGCUGUUCGCCCAUUAAAGCGGUACGUGAGCUGGGUUCAGAACGUCGUGAGACAGUUCGGUCCAUAUCCGAUGUAGGCGUGAGAAUAUUGAGAGGAGCCUUCCUUAGUACGAGAGGACCGGGAAGGACGCACCGCUGGUGUACCUGUUAUGAUGCCAAUUGUAAACGCAGGGUAGCCAAGUGCGGAGAGGAUAACCGCUGAAAGCAUCUAAGUGGGAAGCCCACCUCAAGAUGAGUAUUCUGGUGUAAGGUCACGGGAAGACGACCCGUAAAUAGGCACGAGGUGGAAGUGCAGAGAUGUAUGAAGCCGAAGUGUACUAAUAGACCGUCGGCUUGAC